UUAAGCGACUAAGCGUACACGGUGGAUGCCCUGGCAGUCAGAGGCGAUGAAGGACGUGCUAAUCUGCGAUAAGCGUCGGUAAGGUGAUAUGAACCGUUAUAACCGGCGAUUUCCGAAUGGGGAAACCCAGUGUGUUUCGACACACUAUCAUUAACUGAAUCCAUAGGUUAAUGAGGCGAACCGGGGGAACUGAAACAUCUAAGUACCCCGAGGAAAAGAAAUCAACCGAGAUUCCCCCAGUAGCGGCGAGCGAACGGGGAGCAGCCCAGAGCCUGAAUCAGUGUGUGUGUUAGUGGAAGCGUCUGGAAAGGCGUGCGAUACAGGGUGACAGCCCCGUACACAAAAAUGCACAUGCUGUGAGCUCGAUGAGUAGGGCGGGACACGUGGUAUCCUGUCUGAAUAUGGGGGGACCAUCCUCCAAGGCUAAAUACUCCUGACUGACCGAUAGUGAACCAGUACCGUGAGGGAAAGGCGAAAAGAACCCCGGCGAGGGGAGUGAAAAAGAACCUGAAACCGUGUACGUACAAGCAGUGGGAGCACGCUUAGGCGUGUGACUGCGUACCUUUUGUAUAAUGGGUCAGCGACUUAUAUUCUGUAGCAAGGUUAACCGAAUAGGGGAGCCGAAGGGAAACCGAGUCUUAACUGGGCGUUAAGUUGCAGGGUAUAGACCCGAAACCCGGUGAUCUAGCCAUGGGCAGGUUGAAGGUUGGGUAACACUAACUGGAGGACCGAACCGACUAAUGUUGAAAAAUUAGCGGAUGACUUGUGGCUGGGGGUGAAAGGCCAAUCAAACCGGGAGAUAGCUGGUUCUCCCCGAAAGCUAUUUAGGUAGCGCCUCGUGAAUUCAUCUCCGGGGGUAGAGCACUGUUUCGGCAAGGGGGUCAUCCCGACUUACCAACCCGAUGCAAACUGCGAAUACCGGAGAAUGUUAUCACGGGAGACACACGGCGGGUGCUAACGUCCGUCGUGAAGAGGGAAACAACCCAGACCGCCAGCUAAGGUCCCAAAGUCAUGGUUAAGUGGGAAACGAUGUGGGAAGGCCCAGACAGCCAGGAUGUUGGCUUAGAAGCAGCCAUCAUUUAAAGAAAGCGUAAUAGCUCACUGGUCGAGUCGGCCUGCGCGGAAGAUGUAACGGGGCUAAACCAUGCACCGAAGCUGCGGCAGCGACGCUGAUGCGUUGUUGGGUAGGGGAGCGUUCUGUAAGCCUGCGAAGGUGUGCUGUGAGGCAUGCUGGAGGUAUCAGAAGUGCGAAUGCUGACAUAAGUAACGAUAAAGCGGGUGAAAAGCCCGCUCGCCGGAAGACCAAGGGUUCCUGUCCAACGUUAAUCGGGGCAGGGUGAGUCGACCCCUAAGGCGAGGCCGAAAGGCGUAGUCGAUGGGAAACAGGUUAAUAUUCCUGUACUUGGUGUUACUGCGAAGGGGGGACGGAGAAGGCUAUGUUGGCCGGGCGACGGUUUGUCCCGGUUUAAGCGUGUAGGCUGGUUUUCCAGGCAAAUCCGGAAAAUCAAGGCUGAGGCGUGAUGACGAGGCACUACGGUGCUGAAGCAACAAAUGCCCUGCUUCCAGGAAAAGCCUCUAAGCAUCAGGUAACAUCAAAUCGUACCCCAAACCGACACAGGUGGUCAGGUAGAGAAUACCAAGGCGCUUGAGAGAACUCGGGUGAAGGAACUAGGCAAAAUGGUGCCGUAACUUCGGGAGAAGGCACGCUGAUAUGUAGGUGAAGUCCCUUGCGGAUGGAGCUGAAAUCAGUCGAAGAUACCAGCUGGCUGCAACUGUUUAUUAAAAACACAGCACUGUGCAAACACGAAAGUGGACGUAUACGGUGUGACGCCUGCCCGGUGCCGGAAGGUUAAUUGAUGGGGUCAGCGCAAGCGAAGCUCUUGAUCGAAGCCCCGGUAAACGGCGGCCGUAACUAUAACGGUCCUAAGGUAGCGAAAUUCCUUGUCGGGUAAGUUCCGACCUGCACGAAUGGCGUAAUGAUGGCCAGGCUGUCUCCACCCGAGACUCAGUGAAAUUGAACUCGCUGUGAAGAUGCAGUGUACCCGCGGCAAGACGGAAAGACCCCGUGAACCUUUACUAUAGCUUGACACUGAACAUUGAGCCUUGAUGUGUAGGAUAGGUGGGAGGCUUUGAAGUGUGGACGCCAGUCUGCAUGGAGCCGACCUUGAAAUACCACCCUUUAAUGUUUGAUGUUCUAACGUGGACCCGUGAUCCGGGUUGCGGACAGUGUCUGGUGGGUAGUUUGACUGGGGCGGUCUCCUCCUAAAGAGUAACGGAGGAGCACGAAGGUUGGCUAAUCCUGGUCGGACAUCAGGAGGUUAGUGCAAUGGCAUAAGCCAGCUUGACUGCGAGCGUGACGGCGCGAGCAGGUGCGAAAGCAGGUCAUAGUGAUCCGGUGGUUCUGAAUGGAAGGGCCAUCGCUCAACGGAUAAAAGGUACUCCGGGGAUAACAGGCUGAUACCGCCCAAGAGUUCAUAUCGACGGCGGUGUUUGGCACCUCGAUGUCGGCUCAUCACAUCCUGGGGCUGAAGUAGGUCCCAAGGGUAUGGCUGUUCGCCAUUUAAAGUGGUACGCGAGCUGGGUUUUAGAACGUCGUGAGACAGUUCGGUCCCUAUCUGCCGUGGGCGCUGGAGAACUGAGGGGGGCUGCUCCUAGUACGAGAGGACCGGAGUGGACGCAUCACUGGUGUUCGGGUUGUCAUGCCAAUGGCACUGCCCGGUAGCUAAAUGCGGAAGAGAUAAGUGCUGAAAGCAUCUAAGCACGAAACUUGCCCCGAGAUGAGUUCUCCCUGACCCUUUAAGGGUCCUGAAGGAACGUUGAAGACGACGACGUUGAUAGGCCGGGUGUGUAAGCGCAGCGAUGCGUUGAGCUAACCGGUACUAAUGAACCGUGAGGCUUAACCUU
rnacentral:rRNA from 1 species